GUCUGUGUGUGUGUGUGUGUGUGUAUGGACUCAGCAGUCUGUGUGUGUGUGUGUGUGUGUGUAUGGACUCUACUGAGUCCACACACAGACACACAGAAUGCUGAGUCCAUACACACACAGACACACAG